CUGGCCUGAGCUCCGGACUCCGGGGACAGCGCGUCCUGUCCCGAGGGCCUCCCGCCCCCCGGGAAGGCCAAGGUCAUGAGGUCAAACCCCAACUUUUGGGCUUCCGCGAGAGUAAAGCCCCCGGAUGGUCCUCGGAGCUGUGACGUCACAAAAAGUGCUUGGGGUCUGGUUUCCCGCAGAAUCCAGCCUCUGUCCACGUGAACUCUGCUCUGUCCUCUGGGCUCAUAAUGUUCUGAGACUCUUGCUGCCUCUUUCAUGGAUUCCCCUUCUAUUUCCCUGAGACGACUCACAGGUCACAGAAAGCUGCCUCCCAUCCUUGCGGCUCCAUCAAGGUGCUUUGGAGGCAGGUAAAGCGCAGCCAAAAACAAUCCAUUGAUACACUUGGUGACAUUAAUUGAGAAAAAAACAAUAUGGUCUGGCCAUGGAGGCAUGGUAUCCGUAACAUCCCCCAAAGGAGCUAAAGAAGAAAUCCACAAUUUACCAUGAGCAUUUCUCGUCUGAAGAUUGCCAAGCGAUUCCUCCAGGACAUUCCUCAAGAUCAAUUUCUGUUCAUCCACCUUGUCCUGGGAGGGACAUCAAUGGGUUUCCAUGUCCUUUGGCUUCUGGUUGAGUUCACUCAGUGGAGAACCCUGGCAAGAGGCAGGAAAAGGGGAGGAAGCAGCCUGACCGGUUUGAAUUUCACCUUCUGUUCACCUUGGAUGAGAGCAGUAAUCAUCACGAUCCCAGGGAACAGCCAAAGGAAGAGAAAAGGCAAAAGAUUUGGACAAGACUCAUGAAGACUAACAGCUCUUGGAUAAUUGAGAGAAGGCAGCUGCGUGAACAGUUUUGAUGCAAUCAUGAAGGCAGGGCCCAGUGCCUGUGGCAUCUGCCUUUUUCUGGAACCAAUCCAUAUUUCCUUGUGGUUUUCUAAGGUGCAGAGAGGGCACAUUGGGAACUUUGCUUGGGGUCUUUUUCACAUCUUAGAGGGAAGGUCCCUCAACAUCUGCAUUGGCGGAGUGUGAUCCUCAUGUCCCUCUGAAUGAUCUGGACUUGAGGUAACCAGCCCCUUCCAGGAAGCUGUCCCAUGAGUGAAGCCUCAGCAGCAGCCUCUGUCAGUCCCUCCCCCACAGAACCUUUGGCUUCCAUUUGACCAGCCUUGACAUCCAGUGUCCAAACACCGAUAAAAUUGAUUCCACUAAGCGUGGGAAAGUCCUGGAGCAUCGAUUGUUUCCUCCUCUGCACCCCCGAUACCCUGGCAUUAGCACUCUCCCAGAAUGUACCUUGCUUGUUUGAUUGGAGGAGGUCAAAGCCCUGAUGAAGAAUGAGUGGAAUUCCACAGGAUUGGAGCAGUCUUGAUAAAUGACAGCAGGGGAUGGUGUGGGGAGGGGAAAGGAUCAGAGGAAGUGUGGAUAAAUGAAUGGCUUAAAAAAUAAUCCACCUUUGCCUCCCCCUUUUCUACCAGUCUGUCUAGUGCUUCAGGGUGAAAAAAAAAAAAAAAAGCUUGCCUUUCUAAACAUUUGGAGUUUCAGAAAUGAUCUAUAGAGCAUGUUUAGUUUUUCAAGUUAAAAAUAUUAAAAGAAAAAAAAUGUUUGAGGGCUUUACUGCUUUCCCGCAAAGAGCUAGAGCCACCCAAGCAGGAUUGACUGUCAUUGGUUUGAGGUUUCUGUUUGCUUUGAGGCUAUUUUUUCCUUAGUGCUAUAAACUAGAUCAGUCCAUUUUUAGCUGAUAACCCUUUCCAAUUUCGCUGUGAAAUGAGGGGCUGGUUGGGUGGUUUUUUUUUAUGUUCUUUCCAGCGUUGACUUUUAUGGUCUUUGAUUCCAAGGUACCUCGUCGACUCUGAAGACGAGAGAUGGGUAGGUUCUAACUCCAGAUGAGCCACUGCAAGAUGGUACCAGGAUGAGAUAGAGAGUCUCUGUACUAUCUUUUAUAUGUUCUCAAACCCAGCCAGGGAUCAGAGUGACAAUAUAACAUGGGGAAUCAUAGAGAUGUUUAUGGUAAUUCUGCUAUGAGUCAACUGAGAUGUCCCUUAUGGAGAUAACUUCCCAUACUAUAGGCAGUUGGACAAAGAUGUAAAUGCCUUGUUUACAAAUGCUACCCAGAUCUCCUAAUUAGGACCACACAUGCGGAGAACCCAACAGCUUUUGGACUUAUCGGCCAAUGGUCUUCUUGGGAAGGUCUCUCCUAGUCAUGGGAAUUGUCUUUUUAUUGUUCAAGCUUUUGCAUAGACCUGGAAGAGGCAUCCAUUGCUGUUACCCCUGAGUUUAUAAUCAUGCUGCAAGUCCAGUGGGGAACUUUGGCACAAAGCAUUGAAUGAGAUGGGACUGCACUUAUGUAGCCUGCAUUUCUUGAGAAUAAAGAUUUCUGUUCAUUUAGUGCAGUGGUUAUCAUCUGGGGGAAAACCAGUGAGUAGAGGCCAGGGAUGCCACUAAAAUCCCUACACUGUGCAGGAAAGCUGUCAGCCCUUUGUCCCACAAGAGAUUAACUGGUUCCAAAAGUCAGUAGUGCUGUGGUUGAGAAACCCUGUUUACCACCUGUAGGUUCCAGAGAGCUCGGAUGGUGGUGGUCAUUGUGCUAAGUUUCAAAUUCAGUAUUUAGGUUUGGUUUUUAGCUUAUAGGCAACAAAUUGGCUGACUAUGGGGUGAAAAGGAAGCACCUCCUUUAUCAAGAUUGGCUUCAAAAGAUGUCUGCCUCCCCUUCUGGUGGGUCCUGUGUCCAUUCACAGUGUGAGAAAUGGAAAGGAGGUCACUAAGAGACUUGCAAUGGAUGUAAUAACUGGAUGCAGAAACUCUGGAUCUGAAGGGAAUGUUCAUGACUAUUUCAUCCCUCCUGCUGCCUUGGAGAACCAAACGCAGGAGCCACCCAAGGUGAAAACCAUCCAUUUCUUGGAGAAGUGCCACGGUGGGGUUGCAAGUCCCAGGAUCAAGUUUUCGAUGUGUCUCUUUUUCCCGUAAAGUGGCUGAAAUCUGAAGCUGAAUCUGCAAGUGUCAUGGAGUCAUUGAAUCUCACAGUCUCAACUGAUAAAAGUUAUUAAAGGUAAAAAUGGUGCUACCCUUGGAAAUCCAAGAGCAGCUUCAAGAGUCAACUAUACCAGCAAUCCCUAAAGCUGGAGAAUUUAUGCCCAUGGAAAAGUCUGUAGCGUUUUGCAAACUGUGAGGCUGAGGAAUAGACCUAGUUCCUGCAGCAGAUCAAAAUGAAAGAUGCAGAAAUGCAGCAACUAUUGCAGGGAUUCCGUGAGACCAAGGACCUGUCUCCAUAGCAGGGCUGAGGAGGAAGAGGAAGAGGAGGGGUUGGUCUUGCUGUCUCAAGAGUAGCAGAAGCAGAAGAAAAUCCAAGUUGGUCAAAGGAAGAGGAGGAUCAAUGGCCUUUUUUCCUCCCCCCAACCUUUUUUUUUUUUUUUUUUUUUAAACAAAGAAGCAAAGUGAGAACAUUAAGCCCGAAAGAGAACUGUGUUCAUUGCAGGACUUUUUGAGGUCUGGUUAAGCCAUUUAUAUAAAGAAAUUACACAGUUCCUCUUUGGUAACCUCAAUCCUGAAAGUUAGUGUGACAGGCCUACAGCUUUUUGUUCU
rnacentral:lncRNA from 1 species